rnacentral:lncRNA from 1 species
CAUUUGAAUAAAUAAUUGUACUGUUUUUGCUGUUGUAGAUCCAUUUUCCUCCUUCUUCAUAACUGUUUAUUAACUCUUGAAUAAUAACUUUGAUCAUAUAGCUCUUUUGUUCUGUAGAAAUUCUACUAUUUCAUGAAUAGUUAGGUCAAAUUGUUCCAUAGGCUCUUUACAUAUAAUUGUUCUUGUCAGUCCUAUCUUCAGUGCUGUGAUAGAAUGGUAUAUUUCCUGUGGUGUUACUUCACAGGGUGCUGAAUAAAUCCGAAUAAAUAUUAAUUCUGCUUUGGUAAUUCCCAAGUAUUUCUUUACUACUUGAUAUAGCUCUGGGAUAUGUUGUAGAUUAUCUCCAUUUUGCGUAUAUACCG